rnacentral:misc_RNA from 1 species
AAGUCGUAACAAGGUUUCCGUAGGUGAACCUGCGGAAGGAUCAUUAACACGUAUCCUGCUCUUGUAACCCGCGUAGUUCGCAAUCUCUGAUAAAUCAUAGCCCGGAAAGUUGUAGUGAUUCAGAGACCUCUGGCUACGUGCGAACAUUGGAACAGUUACAAUCGAGCGGUAGUUCUAUAGGCAAUGUUUCCCCAAGCAGGAAUCGUAGAAGCGGUAUCCUGUAGACCGUACAGUCGGGCAGGAGCUUUGCCAAAGGGUCCCCAUGCCCCCUAAUAACCCCACAGUUUAAUGUGAAGCUCAAUGUAAUACAUUGGGUAAAAAAACCGAACAACUGUUAACAAUGGAUAUCUUGGUUCUC